rnacentral:tRNA from 1 species
GGAAGCGUGCCNAAAUGUUAAGGACCUCC